rnacentral:lncRNA from 8 species
GGGAGAAACUUUCCAAAUACAGGUGUGCCAAGCUUUUAGUGUCAUACUCAAGAAGACUCGAGGCUGUUAUCGCUGCCAAUGGUGCUUCAACAAAGUACUGAAUAAAGGGUCUGAAUAGUUAUGUAAAUAAGGUAUCUGUUUUUUAUUUUUAAUAAAUUAGCAAAACAUUUAUAAAAAACCGUGUUUGCUUUGUCAUUAUGGGGUAUUGUGUGUAGAUUGAUGAGGAAAAACAACAAUUUAAUACAUUUUAGAAUAAGGAUGUAAGGUAACAAAAUGUGGAAAAAGUCAAGGGGUCUGAAUACUUUCCGAAUGCACUGUAUAUCCCUUUUGCUCAGAAGAGAAAAUGCAGAUUAUCCAUCCAGAAGCGGGGCCACCAUCUCCAGCAUCUUCCCCGUUCUUGGCUGUGGUUGGAACCAUAACGGUGUUAGUAGGGCUGACAACAUUACUACUGGUGGUCAAAAGUGACCGGCGGCUGCUGAUCCAUGCUCUAUUCACCUAUCCUCUCCGUUCACCAAGAUGCACACACACAGACCCUUCUGUAGAGUGUCUGGGAGGUGAAUAGGCGUGUCUGGGAGGUGCAUAGGCGUGUCUGGGAGGUGCAUAGGCGUGUCUGGGAGGUGCAUAGGCGUGUCUGUCAGGUGCAUAGGAGUGUCUGUCAGGUGCAUAGGAAUGUAGUUGGCAACCUCAUCUGAUUCCAGACAACCCCUCAAGCUUUAUAAUUUAAGUUGAGUGAUAAAAAUGACUUUUGUGGUACUACAGUAUGUGGGUAAACUGUCAUCAGUAUGUAGCUACAUUGUUUUGGCUGGGAUUCAACUCACUCAGUAUUAAAAACAAAUACUGUAGGUUGUGUUUCGUGACAGCUCUCCAUUUUUCUCUGUACUGAUGUCUACUUUGCGAGGAUUACAAAGUCAUACUUUAGUUAGUGGUUAUUGUAUGCUAACCUUUUGAAUAUGUGCAUAAAUCCUAAUGUGUGGCUGAUCUGAUAAGACAGUGUAUAGUGUAUGUAACUGAGAUUAGGAGGUCAUAUCAUAAAAAGUGUGUUUUUGUCCAGAUAAAUAUAAGAAAACAUUUAGAUGAUGUGGAAUUAGAUACAUCUAUCUCAAUAGUUGCAUUGCAUAUUGUCCAGAACAGUCAUGAUUGUAAAGAAGAUGAGACAAUAAAGGAUGACAAUUUAAAGGCCACCUGGCUCUUGUCUGCCUCUUUGAUCCUUAUGCCACAUGUAAGUAAAGUAAGCCUUGUCAGAGCCUGUUUCAAUAGUGUGAGGCAUCUUGGUCUACAAGUA